GAGGCACCACCAGGAGUGGAGCCAGCGGCUUAAUUUGACUCAACACGGGGAAACUCACCCGGCCCGGACACUGAAGGGAUUGACAGAUUGAGAGCUCUUUCUUGAUUCAGUGGGUGGUGGUGCAUGGCCGUUCUUAGUUGGUGGAGCGAUUUGUCUGGUUAAUUCCGAUAACGAACGAGACUCUAGCCUAUUAAAUAGAUCACCGGCUUAUUACGCCGGUGAGACUUCUUAGAGGGACAGGCGGCGAUUCAGCCGCACGAAACAGAGCAAUAACAGGUCUGUGAUGCCCUUAGAUGUCCGGGGCCGCACGCGCGCUACACUGAAGUGAUCAGCGUGCUUGAAAAUCCUGCCCUGUCAAGGGUGGGUAACCCAAUGAACCUUCUUCGUGAUUGGGAUAGGAGAUUGUAAUUAUUCUCCUUGAACGAGGAAUUCCCAGUAAGCGCGAGUCAUCAGCUCGCGUUGAUUACGUCCCUGCCUCUUGUUCACACCGCCCGUCGCUACUACCGAUUGAAUGAUUUA
rnacentral:rRNA from 1 species